rnacentral:rRNA from 1 species
GAAUAUUGGACAAUGGGGGAAACCCUGAUCCAGCAAUGCCGCGUGAGUGAAGAAGGCCUUCGGGUUGUAAAGCUCUUUCAAUAGGGAAGAUUAUGACGGUACCUAUAGAAGAAGCCCCGGCUAAAUCCGUGCCAGCAGCCGCGGUAAGACGGAUGGGGCUAGCGUUGUUCGGAAUUACUGGGCGUAAAGGGCGCGUAGGCGGCCAAUUAAGUUAGACGUGAAAGCCCUAGGCUUAACCUAGGAACUGCGUUUAAUACUGGUUGGCUGGAGUUCGGUAGAGGAAAGCGGAAUUCCUAGUGUAGAGGUGAAAUUCGUAGAUAUUAGGAAGAACACCAGAGGCGAAGGCGGCUUUCUGGACCGAUACUGACGCUGAGGCGCGAAAGCGUGGGGAGCAAACAGG